rnacentral:rRNA from 1 species
GUAACGGGGUUUGAUGCUGGCUGCCAUUUCUUUGGCUGCAUGUGCUCGUCCCUAAGCAAACUCCUUCCAAACACCUGUGCACCUUGUGAGAAAGGUGGAGGCCUGAUCUCUCCCUCCAUCUUGUCUCAUGGCUCAUAAACGCUGCUUGUAAUGUUGAACGUGUUUGUGCCGUUAAGGCCAUAUAGAAUAAAUAAUAAUACAACUUUUGACAACGGAUCUCUUGGCUCUCGCAUCGAUGAAGAACGCAGCGAAAUGCGAUAAGUAAUGUGAAUUGCAGAAUUCAGUGAAUCAUCGAAUCUUUGAACGCACCUUGCGCUCCCUGGUAUUCCGGAGAGCACGCCUGUUCGAGUGUCGUGAAACUAUCAAGCUUAGGGCGCUUUUUUGCUAUCUGGCUUUGGUUAUUGGGCCUUGCCGGCAUCCUUCAUUGGAACGGCUGGCCUUAAAGGCAUUAGCAGCUCAAUGUGGAUAUUGGCAUUCUACUUCUACAUAGCGUGAUAAUGUGACCGCUAAGAAAUAGACCAAGUCUCAUCUGGGUUGCUUCUAAUAUGUGGGAGCUCUGCUUCCGUUUUCAACUUUGGCCUCGAAUCAGGUGGGACUACCCGCUGAACUUAAGCAUAUCAAUAAGCGGAGGAAAAGAAACUAACAAGGAUUCCCCUAGUAACGGCGAGUGAAGCGGGAAAAGCUCAAAUUUAAAAUCUGGCAGCCUUUAG